CAGCAGCCACGGUAAUACGAAGGGUGCAAGCGUUACUCGGAAUUACUGGGCGUAAAGCGUGCGUAGGUGGUGGUUUAAGUCCGUUGUGAAAGCCCUGGGCCCAACCUGGGAAUUGCAGUGGAUACUGGGUCACUAGAGUGUGGUAGAGGAUAGUGGAAUUUCCGGUGUAGCAGUGAAAUGCGUAGAGAUCGGAAGGAACAUCUGUGGCGAAGGCAGCCCCCUGGGCCAACACUGACGCUCAUGCACGAAAGCGUGGGAGCAAACAGGAUUAGAUACCCCUGUAGUCCCUGUCUCUUAUACC
rnacentral:rRNA from 1 species